rnacentral:rRNA from 1 species
GGUACGUACGCCCAUAAGAGGGGGAUAACAUCCGGAAACGGGUGCUAAUACCGCAUAGUUUUCUUGAUCGCAUGAUCGGGAAAGGAAAGACGGCCUUUGUGCUGUCGCUUAUGGAUGGACCCGCGGCGUAUUAGUUAGUUGGUGAGGUAACGGCUCACCAAGACGAUGAUACGUAGCCGACCUGAGAGGGUGAUCGGCCACAUUGGGACUGAGACACGGCCCAAACUCCUACGGGGGGCAGCAGUAGGGAAUCUUCCGCAAUGGACGAAAGUCUGACGGAGCAACGCCGCGUGAGUGAAAAGAAGGUUUUCGGAUCGUAAAACUCUGUUGUCAGAGAAGAACAAGUUGGAGAGUAACUGCUCCAGCCUUGACGGUAUCUGACCAGAAAGCCACGGCUAACUACGUGCCAGCCGCCGC